UACGUAGGGGGCAAGCGUUGUCCGGAUUCAUUGGGCGUAAAGGGUGCGUAGGUGGCGAGGUUAGUCAGGUGUGAAAUCUCGGGGCUCAACCCCGAAACUGCACUUGAUACUGCCUUGCUAGAGUACUGGAGAGGAGAUUGGAAUUUACGGUGUAGCAGUGAAAUGCGUAGAUAUCGUAAGGAAGACCAGUGGCGAAGGCGAAUCUCUGGACAGUUACUGACACUGAGGCACGAAGGCCAGGGGAGCAAACGGG
rnacentral:rRNA from 1 species